rnacentral:rRNA from 1 species
CCUACGGGAGGCAGCAGUGAGGAAUAUUGGUCAAUGGACGAGAGUCUGAACCAGCCAAGUAGCGUGAAGGAUGACUGCCCUAUGGGUUGUAAACUUCUUUUAUAUGGGAAUAAAACGUUCCACGUGUGGGAUUUUGUAUGUACCAUAUGAAUAAGGAUCGGCUAACUCCGUGCCAGCAGCCGCGGUAAUACGGAGGAUCCGAGCGUUAUCCGGAUUUAUUGGGUUUAAAGGGAGCGUAGGGGGAUUGUUAAGUCAGUUGUGAAAGUUUGCGGCUCAACCGUAAAAUUGCAGUUGAAACUGGCAGUCUUGAGUACAGUAGAGGUAGGCGGAAUGCGUGGUGUAGCGGUGAAAUGCUUAGAUAUCACGAAGAACUCCGAUUGCGAAGGCAGUUCACUGGACUGCAACUGACACUGAGGCUCGAAAGUGUGGGUAUCAAACAGGAUUAGAUACCCCAGUAGUC